rnacentral:misc_RNA from 1 species
AGAAAGUAUCUCAAAGCGGCCCUACAAAAUAGAGAUGAGAUAAGAAGCUCUAUGCAGCAAUGGAACUUCAUGGAGUGGAAGUGUUAUAGGUAGAUAUAAAAGUAAUCUGAGUAGUCAAUGUAAAAUUCAAGUAUUGAUUGCUAGCCUCUAUAUUCUACUAUUAAUAUGAAAGCUCAACCAGAACUUCUGCUUCAUCUCUUUCAGAUUUUCUUAUUGGUUCUUUCUUUACUUAACCAGCAACCAUAAAAGUGCAAUCAAGACAGAAUAAGGAACAUACAUGGAGAGAGCUAGAAAAUGCAAACAAAAAUUAAUAAUUAAAAUUAGAAAAGUUAUCUAAAAAUUUUUUUG